AUGUCAUCAUCUAAUUCCAGCUUUCAAGUCAGCGAACAGAGUCAGAUAUCAUCCGAUGGUUCAUCAGUGAAGACAGACAGAGGACGAGGGAGAGGAAGAGGGAGAGGAAGAGGGAGAGGACAGACGUGUGCCAGCGCACAGAGAGGCAGAGGUGUUAGACAUGCGACAGAAGCAGGGCAAGCAUCCCAAGAUGAAGGAGCCGAAUUUGCUCAAACCAGCCGCAACGUUCCACGCACAAGAGGAAGAGGCAGAGCUGCAAUAAAGUCUAGAAGAUCGGCGCUUUCAAGCGCUUUCAAACUAUCCCGUUUCUCAAGUUUGCUUGUAGAAUAUGUGUGAUCCUCCAUCGCUAGAAGUACGGUGUGGCUAGUUUCUUCUUCUUCUUAGUUACUUUGUCAGACUGCAUGCUUACAAGGCGCACUUCUGCCCCCUGCUGUUUCUUUGAGGUUACAUCAUUUAAAAACGCAAACAUCAAAUGCGAAGCUUAAUAUGUUGUAUGUCCCUAAAAGGUCACUGUAUUUUAAGAUGGCGCAUGCCAUAUGGAGCACCGGUCUGCUUCUUUUGUCUAAAAUAUUAAAAUAUAAAGCUAAUAAUAAUGCUUAGAAUAAAUGCUUGUUUGAAUUAUCAUUAAAAAAAAACAAAUUUGAGAAUGUGAUACAAGAAAUUUGAUAACUUAUAAGAUGAAAUAUCACACAUUGGGCCUUUAAGGAUUAUUUGUCAUUUUUAAGGAUUUUAAAGGCCUUAAAUUUGGAAAAGCAAAUGUAAGACUUUUUAAGGACCCGCAGAUACCCUGGGUAUAAAUGAAUGCUUCGUGAGUCGAUCUGUGUGUGGAGCUCCUGUUUUAUGAAUAGAUGUAAGCCAGAGCAGAGCUUGGCUGAAGAAGGUUUUCAAGUCUUAUUUCCUGUUAUUGGACAGCUCUCCUCUGAUUGGCUAACAGCAACACGACUACCACUGACUCAGUUCUGAAACGUUGACGUUUUAUCUCCACAAAUAACACAAGCCUGGAGGAGUUCUGCUGUGUGGUGGAGUUACUAAUGCUAACAGUUAGCUUCUACUAGCAGAGACGUUCUCUGCUGUUUCCUGGACGCUAAACCAACAACAGCCUUCCCCGUCGCAAGCCAAGCUGGGCGAGUGCAUGAAUGUUAGUUUGACAUCAUGAUGUGCUAAUGUCCCUGGCUUUCCUAAUCCCAUCUAUUUUCUACCUGUAGCCAAUACUGGAAGCAGCAGUAGGAGACUAUUUUCAUGCUUAGCCUGCAUGUAAAACUCAGAGGUACUGAUCAUAUUUCAAAGGUUAGAAACUGUUUCUCGGUGAACUGUGUUUGAAGGAGAAUAGCAGGAAAUCGUCCUCCGUUCUGUGUGAAGCCUUCAUUUCUUCUCACUUUUGCAGCUGACAGAAAAAAUAAUUAGAAAAAGUAGAUUUCCUCCAACAUUCAUCCGUUUUUUAAAACUAUAUAUAAAGUGGGAAACCAGCCAGGAGAACAAACUGUUGGCCAAAGAAAUGUUGGCCAGUGGAACAAUUAGGUGCUAAGUGUCUUCCUCAAGGGUACCAGAAGGGUAGAGGUAGCUGUUGACUCUGUUAAAUGACGGGGUUCCAGCUAAUGCAGCCCCUCAGUCUGCUGCCAUUCUUCAUAGGCGGUUGUGUGCACAAAGCAAAUCGUCCGUCACCGUCUCGUUAGACGAACACAGUCCUUGACUUUGUGCUGUAAAAGUGGCCACAGAGACAUAAUAAUACAGGACUUUGCCAUCAUUCCACUCCACCAGGUUUGUCUUGGGAGGAUGGUCAGAAGCAUGUUAGGAAGUGUGCUCCUGUGCUAAAUGGAUUAAUUCCCAUUCUAAACAGCGUCCUGAAUGGCCUCUGUUUGGAAAAACAGAGAUUAAAUCCUUCAGGACUGAUAUGCUAACCACUAGUCUGAGUGCAGCCGUGACUGUUGUUAAAAAACAAAUCCUGCAACGUUAGCAUAUACACCUUUACACUGCUGUUUAUAUCACUACAUAUGCAUCAUCCAUCCAUUUCCAGCCGCUUAUCCGAGGUCGGGUCGUAGGAGCAGAAGCCUGAGCAGAGAAGCCCAAACUUCCCUCUCCCCGGCCACUCGGGCCAGCUCCUCCGAGAGAAUCCCAAGGCGUUCUCUGGCCAGCCAAGAGACACAGUCCCUCUAGCGUGUCCUGGGUCUUCCUUUACGUCUUCUCGUGGUUGCAGGAAAACCUCACCAGGGAGGUGUCAACUGGCUCCUCUCGAUGUGGAGGAGCAGCCCCACCCAGAGGCAUAGGCGUCAUUUUUACCGGGGACGCCUGGGACAUGUCCCCGGCAAAAUUUGUGAUUGGCAGCUGUGUCCGCCCCACUUUCAAAAACGCCUGCUGAUGAGGAUUUUUGUUUUACCAGCUCAGAUCUUAUACCAGGGGUCGGCAACCUAUUCCCAUCAAAGAGCCAUUAUGACCCGUUUCCCACAGUAAUUCUGGACGGACCUUAAUAAGCAGUGACUUAAGUGAAGCAGGCAGGUCGCGCUAGAAAAUUUAGUUUAAAAAGAUGUCAUAAAUGUGUUCCCCCAUCCUUUUUAUUUAAAAAAUAUGAAGUAAAAACUCACAAUUUAAUUUUCAUUCAUUUGUCAUUAAUAUGUAGUCUACACCCGUGCGUUAAGUGGACCGUCUUCCAGUAAACGCAAAGCAUCCGGCCCACCUCUCCAAAUGCGUAAAAUGUGCAUCACAACCACUAGGCGCACCGCGCGCACCGUCAGCUACGUCAGCCCAGACAAGAGCAGAGCAAAUAGAGAAAGAAUAGAGGAUCAUUCUGUCUGGAUGUGGAAGGAGAUUACAUUUUACAGCAGCCUGAUCAUCAUUUAAAUACGUAAACCAUCACCUGUCUUCUAGUCCACGCUAUCAGCAUUAUUUUAAUUGGUGUGUGUGUGUGUGUGUGUGUGUGUGUGUGUGUGUGUGUGUGUGUGU
ensembl:lncRNA